ensembl:processed_transcript Gm12059 predicted gene 12059
GGGAAGAGGGAUCGCGCUUCCUCAGAAGGAUAGAGGUCCCUCCCUCAGCCGUCAAGGCUCCCCCCCACCCCCCGUGGCCCUUAAUCCCCUGGUGCGGGGGCUUGUUUCGAAGGCGCUGAGCCCUUCACCUUUCCGGAGCCCGGCAUGGUGCUGGCAACGCCUCUCUCAUCGCCUCGUUUUAAAAAUUAAAAAAAUUCAGUUAAAAAAAUUCAGUUUGCUAUGCGAACAGCAUUCCAACAGUACACAAUUAUAUCCGAAAUAGUUAAGCAAUAAAAGAAAAAAAAAAUGACGGGCGUUGUUGAGGCAGGAGGAUUACUGCGAAUUCUACUCCACCUUGGGCUACAUACCGAGAUUGUGUCAAAAACCACGGAGUGGGGGAAAUUAAGUGAAGUAAUCGUCUACGUUGGGAACCAAAGAUUCCAAGAAAAUGCCCCAAUGUGUGCUGCUUCUAGGAUCCUAGAGAUCCAAAGACUCCUGCAUCCUUUCACAAACCUUUUACAUCACCUGAGAUCUACGUAACUGUGUUUAUGACAGCAACAGCUCCACGUCUAAGUACCAACUUGUCAGAACACGAAAGAAUGGAGUCGUAUGAAGAUAUUAGUGCUCGUGAGGAAACGCCAAGAAAACGCGAGCCUUGUGAUCUCAGUUCCUUCAGACAUGGCGCCAUUCUUAGAAUGUGCGUUCAUGCUUCUCCCAGAUGUAGCCCGUAGAGUGGGUUCGCUUCAGAUUACUCAUUAAACUGCCUAUUGUUAUUUGCUUAUAUGCCUUUAUGGAAAACAUGUUUUUGCCAUGUGCAAUUUGUCCUUGUGAUUGCACACUUUACCAUGUGACUCCUCUGAACACUCAGAGUAUACAUUGAAUGGUUCUCUGAAUAAAGCUGGCUAUUGGAUGAGACUUUAGUGUGCCUCAUUUAUCAGCUGCACUCUCUCAGGUCCCAUCACCUCCGGGGCAGCGACACCAGCUUUCUGUCUACUUACUUGCUUUAUUGCCAUGAAAAGAGAGCCAAAGCAGCAGAAGGAGUAAAGGAUUUCCUGUGCUUUCCGUUUUACUGAAAGUUCACCAUGGGGGUGAAGCCAUGGCAGCAGAGCAGGAGUGCACUGCAUCUGUGUGCAAGGAGCAGAGAGAGAUGAAGGCUCACCAUGGAGGUGAAGGCAGUGGGGCAGGAGGAGCACUGCAUCUGUGUGCAGGGAGCAGAGAGAGAUGAAGGCUCACCAUGGAGGUGAAGGCAGUGGGGCAGGAGGCGCACUGCAUCUGUGUGCAGGGAGCAGAGAGAGAUGAAGGAAUGCUGACGUUUAGCUUUCUUCUUUUAAUUUAUUGUAGAAACCCUGCUUUUGCCCACAUUUAGAUGGGCUUUUCCCACCUCAAUAACUCAGCAUAGACACUUCCUAACAUAAUGUCCACGGCCUUCCCUUCUAGGUGUUUUAGAUUUUGUCAAGUUGGUGACGUUAAUCAUCAAGAAUUGUAUUAAAAUUCCAGAUCAUGGAAAAUGGAUGUUAUGUGAAUUAAUUUUAUUUUUGCAAUACUAAUGAUUGAUCCCAGAGUCUUGCAUGUGCUACCAAGUGCUGAACCACUGAGCUACACUCCCAAAGAAGAAACAGAUUCUUUAUAAAGGUAAUAUAGACAUCGGUUGUACCAAGUGCUUCAUUUGUGUUCGGUUGUUUAUAUGAGACACUGUGUCAUGUAGCCCAAGUGCCCAGGCCAUUGAACUUUUGACCCUCCUACCUCAGACCUGCUAGUAUUAGAGGUUUAAGCCACCACACAAACUGAGCAGUGGUCUCUCUUAUGUUAAUUCAUUUAAUUCACAGAGCCUCACUGCUAUUGCUAACUUGACCGGACCCUCCCCACCUCUGUCAUGGGUAGCUGAAACAGAGGUUAUAGAAAACUGAUUCAAACUAAUUCAGUCUGAUUUUUCCCUCCCAGAAUUUAUAGGUAGGUUUAGUUAGUCUCAACCUAGAAAGGUAUGACACAGACAAACAGACCUUUGAGCUAUACACAGUCGGAUGUGGGAAUCUUUGAAGAGUGCACAGACUUACCCACGUCUCCAAAUAAACUGCUAAUUUAAGCCCACCCAAACCACCUCUGGCAUAAAACACUGGUUUUGCAAGUUUUCAAGUAGCAGUUUCUCCCCAUGUAUCCUAUAAAUUUCUUAUUUAAUUCAUUUGUUUCUCUUUUCCCUCUUUACAAUUGUAACUGCUUAUUCAUAGCCCCCUUUACGUCAAUCUGUAGAAAUUCUUUCAUCAGCUGAGACGGCAAACGUCAGUGGCGUAUAAAUGUGACAUCAGCCUUUGAAGUGCAUUCCAGAACAAUGUUUCCUAUUGGAUCUUUCAGUUCUAUAACUCAGUUUUGGUGGUGAUUCAUAUGAGGAUGACAGUGAUUCAUCUGAUUUCAGUGAGCCACAGGAUCUCAAAGAAGAACCUCACGUCCUACAGCCCAAUUUAAAAAGAAGUUCUCACAUCUGAGUAAGAGCAGUUACAUUCCAAUACAUUAAACAGAGCCAGGCAGAGUGACUCAUGCCUGGAGCCCCAGCAUCCCAGAGGCAGGAAGGUUAAGAGUUCAAGGCCAGCCUGCACUACAAAGACUACGGGCUCUGUCUCAAAAACAAACAAACAAACAAGCAAACAAACAAACAAACAAACACAAGCAGCAGUAACAACCACCACCACCACCACUAAAGCACACUUUGGAAUGAAGAAAGCCAUUUUCAAGAGGACUACUUUUUACUUAUAAGAUGGUAAUCAGUAGAGGACACAACUGAAUAAGGGUCUGCAAUAGAAGAGUCAGGGUUGAAAGGAAUUGAUAUUUCAUUAUUAAUGCGAGCACAUGAUUCUUUCCCAAAGCCUGUCUUACCAGACAGAUUUAAAAACACAAUUGCUGGGGUUUUAGACAUCAUAUAAUGUAUCACAUAAUCCAAUGCCACCUACUGCAGAACCUCACUGGAGAUGGACCACCAUGUUCAAUAAAAAAAAUGUCAAGC